rnacentral:rRNA from 1 species
UACGUAGGUGACAAGCGUUGUCCGGAUUUACUGGGCGUAAAGAGCGCGCAGGCGGUUUGUCAAGUCGGAUGUGAAAUCCCCGGGCUUAACCUGGGAAUUGCGUUCGAAACUAGCAGGCUAGAGUGCGGCAGAGGGGGGUAGAAUUCCACGUGUAGCAGUGAAAUGCGUAGAGAUGUGGAGGAAUACCGAUGGCGAAGGCAGCCCCCUGGGUCGACACUGACGCUCAUGCACGAAAGCGUGGGGAGCAAACAGG